rnacentral:rRNA from 1 species
AGGACGAACGCUGGCGGCGUGCUUAACACAUGCAAGUCGAACGGAGAUUUAGCAAUAAAAUCUAGUGGCGAACGGGUGAGUAACGCGUAGGCAAUCUGCCUUCUAGAUGGGGACAACAUCCCGAAAGGGGUGCUAAUACCGAAUGUUGUAGCGACUUCGCAUGAAGUUGCUACUAAAGGUGGCCUCUGAAUAUGCUACCGCUAGAAGAUGAGCCUGCGUCUGAUUAGCUAGUUGGAGGGGUAACGGCCCACCAAGGCUUCGAUCAGUAGCCGGUCUGAGAGGAUGAACGGCCACACUGGGACUGAGACACGGCCCAGACUCCUACGGGAGGCAGCAGUGGGGAAUCUUCCGCAAUGGACGAAAGUCUGACGGAGCAACGCCGCGUGAGUGAAGAAGGUUUUCGGAUCGUAAAGCUCUUUCGUUAGGGACGAACGUGCUCUUUGUGAAUAAUGAGGAGUAAUGACAGUACCUAAAUAAGAAGCCACGGCUAACUACGUGCCAGCCGCGGC